AAAUCCAAUCAGGAACGCAGCGGUUUCUAAAUAAGAGUCCCUUCCUAUGCUUCCCUAUUGAGCAGUGAAUGGGAUAUCAACGAGAUUCCCUUUUCUAUGGCUUCCUUAAUGUGUCUAGUAUCACAAGACAGUUUCAGGCUUUUAUUUUGAAAAAUGAGCCUGAGCGACAACAUUGCGUCAGUGUCCACCUGAUGGCUCUUUGUGUAUUUCUCCCGCAAAAGACCGAGGUAGCCAUUUUUCCACCUGGUCUUGCUGAGUAAAGAACUAGCUGAGUGAAGAACUAAAGGAGCUAUUUUUGGCUACAAAAAUAAUUUUUCUGGAAAAAAGGAACAUUUGCUAUCUAACUGGGAGUCUUGUGAUUGAGAACAUCCAAAGCUCAAAAGUGAACGUGUGACCGUCCUGUCAAUGCCCAUCAUCACCGUUUGAUAUCUUUUACUUCAGUGACGGGGUGGAGCGUUCUUGGAGGUACUGCAAUACCAGGUCGGUGCGUGGAGUGGACGGAGCAAGCCCCUAUUCCAUCUCCCUGUUCCAAAAAUCAAUUUAAUAUAUGGUCCCCAGAUAGGGGAUGUAUCAGAUAUUAAACUGACAGGGGUUUUCCUUGCCCAUUCCACUAUUUUCUUAAAAGGUAAUGGGGUGAUUUCAGCUUUUGUCUUACUAUUAUCCCUCUCCACCAUGAACCUUAACGGUACAGACAGCCAUAAUUUGAUUAGAAUGUGACUUGUGUACAGAAGACGACAAAAGACAAAUGUUUGAGUAGAACAACGCAUCUAGCUUGAGAAGAAUGAGGGAAAUCCCUUCCACCAGCCUCUAUAGGCUGGUACAUCCGAUCUCUACGGAUGUACUCAUAUCCCCCCCAACAGAAAUUAAACAGUACCUGUAUGAAAGUUUUUCUUAGAGACACCGGCAAGGGAAACACAUAGGCAAGGUGAAGUAAUGAAGGCAGAAUGUCCGCCUUCAGCACUAACACCUUCCCACUAAAAGAUAGUCGCCUCACUUUCCACAGUCCCAAUCUUUUAUUAAGCGAUAAUAGUUUUUCUUUCCAAUUAAACAUGUCAUCUUUCAUUUAAUUUCCGAAAGAUAUGCCGAGUACUACCAUUGGUCCUGUGCACACAGUCAAACCACAUAACUGAUCCGUUGUCCAUUUCCACUGUCCCAAAGGUUUUAUUUCUGUUUUAUUCUUGUUAAUCUUCGACCCAGACGCAACAGAGAAUUCAUCAAUGACUUUGACAGACUCUUUCAAGCUCAGGUCGUCUUGUAAAUAUAAAACUGUAUCGUCCGCAUAGUGCGAUAUUUUUAGCAUAUCCCCUCCAGGUAAAAUGAUGCCUUUGAUGUUAUAAUUUGUCCUAAUUGCGCAUACGAACGGUUCAAUAUAUAAAACAUACAAUAGAGCAGAUAGUGUCACCCUGUCUGACACCUCGUAAUUGCUUGAUAACAUUUCCAAUAUUCCCAUUAAUAUUUACCCUGCUACCCACAUUACUAUACAGAAUUUUUACCCAUUACAUAUAAUUAUUUCCAAAACCAAAUUUUUCCAUAAUUCUAAAUAAAAACUCAUGGUUUACCAUGUCAAAAGCUUUUUCCUGGUCCAAAUUCACAAUAAUAGCUGGCAGGUGCCUUUCCUCUAAAUAGGCUUCAACGUCUCUGUGCAAUUGCAAGUUCCAGGUUAAUCCACACCACAUGUUUGGUCUAAACCAACAACAUAUGCCAUGGCAGAAGAUAGGCGAUCAGUUAUGGCUUUGCUUAAUAAUUUAUAGUCAUCACACAACAUUGUUAAAGGUCUCCAAUUUGCUAAUGUCUUGGGGUCUCCCUUUUUAUAAAGUAGAGAGAUUACCCCCUCACACAUCGAAACUCCCAUAUGCUCCAAACCAAAUAUACCUAUAAACACUUCCAACAGAUGACAUCCAAUUAAAUCCCCCAAAACUAUGUAAAACUCUUUAGAGAGCCCAUCCACUCCUGGUACUUUAUCUUUCAUGCUCUUCAAUGCCAUAUACAUUUCAUCUAAUUUCAAUUCCCCUUCUAAUUGGUCUCUAAUAUCUAAAGGUAUCUGCACAUCCACGCAUUUUAAAAAAUGUGUCCCCUUCUCAUAAUCAAUUGUUUGUUUUUGAAAUAGCUGAGAAAAGUAGUGUGUAGCGACACCAAGCAUGCCAUCUCCAUCCUCAACCAUCUCCCCAUCUUGGUCCAAUAAAGCCGAAAUAGUCCCUCUUUCCCCGUGAUUUAAUUUGUUUGAAAAAAAUAUGCCGAGCACUUCUCAUCAUUUUCCCAUUUAUCUUGCUGACUUUUAAAAAUGAAGUCUCGAGCUUUCUUUUCAAAUAAUGUGUGCUGCUUUUUCAGCAGGAUACCCAUAUCUAAUCCAUAUCUAAUCCACCACCAUUUACAUUUCCUUGGCUGUGUAGAUCUUUUAGUUCAUUCUGCAAUUUAUAAAAUUCUUGGUGGUUGUACUUUGUCUUUGCAAAAAUUCUGAAUAAAACUCUUGAUUCUUAAUUUUGUGCUCUCCCACCCCUCUGAAAGUAGAAUAAAAAGGUUUCAUAGCUACACAGCCCUGGAAAAAAACCUGAAUCUUGUCCCAAAAGUUGUCGUGUAAAAUGCCGUUAUUCAUUUUCCAAUACCCUUUUCCAAAUUCAAUUGUUUUUAAUUCUACUGUCACAGACAGGCAACUGUGGUCUGAAUUUAAAAAAACGGUGUAACGCACGCGGACGACACACGGAGUUCACGCGGAACAAACAGAUCAUCUAUUCAUAAACACUGUCCUCCUCCUCAUGCUCCCCCUCCAUCUGUGUGGGUGCCAGACCGCUGCUCUCGAUGAAGGCCGCGCCUGACAGGGAUAACAGAGUCUCCUCUGCGCUGCCCAGGUUUCCCUCGCUUUUCUCCUCAGACUUCCCGCUUUCAAAACAACUGAAGCGAUUUCCCCGUCGCCUCCAUGCGAACGAGUGGGGAAACAGGGCUCAUCCGCUUCCUUUUCACCGAGCACUUCCUCCUCUCUCUCACCGUUGUCCAGCUCUCGGUAGCCGAGGGCGCGGUGGGCUCUCCCUUCUCCACUUGCUUGUUCCAACUGCUGUUCGCUUCUCCUCUCUCCUCGUGAGAUGCUGAUGGCGUCUCACUCCCGCUCUCCUGACUCUUGCAGUUCUCUCUCCGUCACUAGCUCAUCCACAACCUCCUCAAUAGUGUGUAGUUCCAUGCCUUCUCCCUCAUCUGGUCUUUUCCCGCUCUCCGCUCUUUUCCCGCUCACCGCUCUGGCGUAAGAGGGGACUGCCUUCGGGCAGUGACGGAACAGGUGGUCCUCUGAGUUGCACAGACUGCAGCGCUUGGGCACGGUGCAAUCCCUCAUUAUAUGUCCAAUAGUCCCACAGUUUCUGCACCUUGUCUGUGUGCAGGCAUCUGCGAGGUGCCUGUACGUGCUACACUUCCUGCAGAAACGAGGCUGUCCAGCAUACAAGAGGUAGCCCCUGUCUGCACCGAUGGAAAAAGCAGGAGGAUGGCGGUAUCCAUCAUGGCCGCUCUCGUCCUCCUUUAGCAGCACACAAAACUGCCUCUUCCCUGUCCAGAUGCCUAGGGCGUCCUUAAUGUCUCACUCCAGGCAAGAUGGUCACGUACCGGCUGAGGUAGCACACUAACGUUUCUUCAGUGACCCAUGGGUUGAACAUAUGCACCGUUAGCACCCUCAUAUUGUGCCUGCACAGGGACUCAACUUUAAAAUCCACGAGGGCGGGUGCUGUCGCAUUCGCACGAAGAGCCCUCUUACUUCCUCCAGCCGGGUGAUGGUGUAGAAAGACACAUCGUAGAACUUCUCGGGUGUGUUCUGUUGCAGGCAGUGCACAUCGUCUGCUGUCAGGCGUAGAGGUCCAAACAGAACUUCCUUUCCAAAACGAACUCUCCAUCAAAUUUUCCUUUCCUGUCCAAUUAAAUCGAAGCGUAUUCUUCAGUCCAGCAGCCGCUGACUGUGACGUGGCCGACGACGUCGCACCACCUUGAGGAUCCCGUUCGAAAUGCACUCGAUCUUUCUCUUGAUCUUAGCCAAAAGUCCGAGAAGCGAUACCCACAAUGCUUUCGAAAGGCUCCAUUCUCGCACACGUCAAAUUCGAUUACACCAAAAUGAGCUCUGUAAACUUUCUGCCAAAUAUCAAAGAUUGUGCUUUCAUUUUUAAAUGAACAAUUUGGAGAACAUAAUAUUGACAUAACAUUUGAUCUUGUAUCAAAUAUCUCUGGUAUCAUUGCUGCCACAGCGGAACUGAAGCAAUUGUUCACUUGAUGGCCCCAGAGUUCCACCGACUGAUCAAGAUCAAAUGUUAUGAUGGCCAUGGAGGAGGAAGCAGAUGGGGAGCAAAGUGAAAAUGACAUGGCUUGAGAACGCCUCUUGGAACCUGUGGCCAGACGGGGGAAGACUGGGUGAAAGCAUGAGGUUUUUUAGGGCCUUCAUUUUUGUGGAACCCAGCAGAAAAGUAUCCUCAAGGCAUAGAGUCAGGUGAAGAGAGAGUGGGAAUUGUCAUGUUAUCAAACUUUGGUUUUUCUUUGCAUAUAUAAUUAUGCAUAGCUCAACACAGUUAUGUUUUGUUUCUUUUUGCUUUUCAAGUCUUAUGCUAUAACUCUCUUAGGAACCGGAAGCUAAAAUGUCAUUCUGUUGUCUGACGAGAGAUGUAAAUAAGAGUGUGCAGUGUGAUUAUAGAACAGAAGCCAUAAGUCUUGGAUUUGUAAACAUAAUCAACUGUGAAUGUUAAAUCAUGUCAUUGUUUGCUCAUCAAGUCAUUUCCAAGUUUAUAUAAAUGUUGAACAGUAUGAAGGUAAUGUUCAAAAGGGGGAACUGAUGGGUUCUGACUUCUAAACUUGAAAUAUUGUUAAUCAUCAGGUAUCCUAUGGAAAUGAGAAGGGCCACAGUCUGGUUUCUACACCAGAAGCUAAUGGGCAUCUGUAGGAGAAAUGUAUAUGGUGGAGUCAAUUAAGGUUGGAUAUGAGCCAGGGACUUAGAAUGUUACUGAGUAAAUGAAAGGCAAUCACAUGGUUGCAGUCACUGAUAAGGGUGGAGAGCUGUGGAUUAGUGAGGAAUGGGGGGGCCCAGGUCAGGUCACAUUAAGGGAGAAGGAACAGUUUAUUACCCACAUCACUUAACUUCCUGCCGAGCAGUAGAGAUGUAACGCUUAAAAGAGUAGAAGGAGACAUGCUCUGUUCAGCAGUCUGACCCAUUGGGUGAAUAAACGGUUUGAGCUUUACUGAGUUUUUACUCUUUAUUUAGAACCUAACAAUAUAAAUAUCUGGAUUUGAUCAGCAUCCAAAUUCCAACCUGAUGCUCCCUGAGCCUGAUGAGACAUAUUAAAUGAUUUUGCUGUUAUCCAAUAGGCUACAUACAUAUAUAUACGACUUUUCAGGCUACAGAAAAGGUACAUUUGUCAGCAAGGCGCAUCAAUUAAUGGCAAUUGAUGAACUUCAUUAGGCAAACUUUUUGGUGUUUUGUAACAGAUGCCUAUUUAUUCAUCAAAUGGCACUAGUUUGCUAUGUUGUUGACUUAGGCCUCUCUUUAUGUAGUGUUGUCUCUUGUGUUUUGUCCUAUAUUUUUAAUCCCAGCCCCCGCAGGAGGCCUUUUGGUAGCCUUCAUUGUGAUUUAGAAUGUGUUCUUAACGGACUUCCCUAGUUAAAUAAAAUAAUAAUAAUAGUAGGUUAAACAUGCAGUUUGGAUGCUGAAAUCAUUUUUGGAGUGGAAAAACAUGCACAAAAAUAUCCUACAUUUUAAAGCGAUUUGUUUGACAAAUCAGAUAAAUAUCAUGAAUGGUUGUGUUUAUGCCACAUAAAAAAAUAAACAUUUAAUUGACUUCUUUAUUAGGCCCAAUAAAUAUGUUUUACUGGUAAGUGAGGCAGUCCCAUGUUACCAGUACAUGACUUUAGCGCAUUUCAGAGUUUAUUGUAAAUUGUAUACUAUUGUUGUGUAGAUGUAUAUUUUCAAUUCCAAUCAUAACAAUUGUUUGUUUUAACUACUUCACUACUAUUUUACUACUUUGCUAUUUGUAUAUUUUUGAUAAUCACUGUUGAUGAGAGCUUGCAAGUUAGCAUUUCACUGUACCGUUUAUCCGUGCUCAUGAAGAAUAAACGUUGAUUAAAAGAUUAACGCAGCAUUCACAUCAGCUAUCAUAGUCAACUUUCGCAAAUGUGAAAAUACAACAUGAUCCUAACAAAUUAAAACGAAUCAACUCUGUUUUCUCUGCCUAAUUUAUCUUUACAACGACAGGGGGUGCACCGUUCCUGGAGGUACUGCAAUACCAGGUCGAUGCGUGGAGUGGACGGAGCAAGCCCCUAUUCCAUCUCCCUGUUCCAAAAAUCAAUUUAAUAUAUGGUCCCCAGAUAGGGGACGUAUCAGAUAUUAAACUGAUAAGAACAGAU